rnacentral:rRNA from 1 species
AUUGAACGCUGGCGGCAGGCCUAACACAUGCAAGUCGCACGAGUGGCGGACGGGUGAGUAAUGUCUGGGAAACUGCCCGAUGGAGGGGGAUAACUACUGGAAACGGUAGCUAAUACCGCAUACCAUCGGAUGUGCCCAGAUGGGAUUAGCUAGUAGGUGGGGUAACGGCUCACCUAGGCGACGAUCCCUAGCUGGUCUGAGAGGUUGACCAGCCACACGUGAACUGAGACAAGGUCCAGACUCCUACGGGAGGCAGCAGUGGGGAAUAUUGCACAAUGGGCGCAAGCCGGAUGCAGCCAUGCCGCGUGUAUGAAGAAGGCCUUCGGGUUGUAAAGUACUUUCAGCGAGGAGGCGUUACUCGCAGAAGAAGCACCGGCUAACUCCGUGCCAGCCGCCGCGGUAAUUC